UACGGAGGGUCCAAGCGUUAUCAGGAUUUAUUGGGUUUAAAGGGUGCACAGGCGGAAGAUUAAGUCGGUGGUGAAAUUUUGCAGCUCAACUGUAAAAGUGCCAUUGAUACUGGUUUUCUUGAGUGUGGAUGAAGUAGGCGGAAUUUGUGGUGUAGCGGUGAAAUGCAUAGAUAUCACGAGGAACUCCGAUUGCGCAGGCAGCUUACUAAACCAUAACUGACGCUCAGGCACGAAGGCGUGGAGAUCAAACAGGAUUAGA
rnacentral:rRNA from 1 species